CGCAGACCCCAGGCCCACCUGGCGUCCGGCCUUGCCUGCAAUUGACUCCAGACAUUUUUGCCAAGGUUUAUUAUAAGAAAAAUUCCACUGCCUAGAGGCUGCCUUACAGGAGGCUGGGGACGGGGCUGGGGAGACUCUGGAGCUUGCCUUGUCUCCCUGCUGUUUGGUGUGCUCUCCACAAAGCAUGGUCUGCAGGACUCGUGGGGGGGCAGGGGUGUGGCCCUGCAGCCUCAGUGUCAAGGUCACAGCCUGGUAGGGUCGGUGAGCGGGUGACCAUGCUGGCACCCUCCGCCUGCCUUCCUUCCUUGCCUGGUGGCUAAGGCGAGCAGUAGGGUGGCCCUGUUCAGGAAAUUUGUGCUUCGGGUCGGGUGGGGUGGGGGGCCAGGCAUGGGGGGCUGCUGGCAUGCGAAGGAGUGGCUGUCGUCGCUUGCAUGCGCGCGUGUGUGUGCUAGUCGCUUCUUGCUGCUGCCGCCACUGCCUGCUUCUCGGGUUCUCACAUGCAUAACGUGACAUAUAUAUAUAUAUAUAAGUGUAUAAAUAUAUAUUUUAUUUUUUUUUAAUUCCCUGGAGCUCUCGGUUCCCGUGGCUCCUACUGUCGGUCAUAGAGAAAAGCCGUGUCCCUCCCAUCCUCCGUCACCCCCACAUCCAUCAUGUUCUUAUUUUUAAAAACUCAAAGAUCAAAAACA